UACGUAGGAGGCAAGCGUUGUCCGGAAUACUGGGCGUAAAGCGUGCGCAGGCGGUUAUGUAAGACAGAUGUGAAAUCCCCGGGCUCAACCCUGGGAACUGCAUUUGUGACUGCAUGGCUAGAGUACGGUAGAGGGGGAUGGAAUUCCGCGUGUAGCAGUGAAAUGCGUAGAUAUGCGGAGGAACACCGAUGGCGAAGGCAAUCCCCUGGACCUGUACUGACGCUCAUGCACGAAAGCGUGGGGAGCAAACAGG
rnacentral:rRNA from 1 species